UAAACGACGUACCCGUUAUCAGUCACACCAUUUCUCCUAUAAAACGAUGUUCUGAUCCGUUGUUGAAGGAAUGAAACUUGGUAUAUAUCAAAACACUUAUCGACUUGAGCCUGAAAAUCAUUUCUUAGAAAAUACGUAAUAUCGACGACCUUAUGAAGUAAGAAGUAUGAAGGACAGCGCAUUAGCUACCACACCUAGUCCUAGUCAGAUGAUUAUCGCACUAAUUUAGUUUAUAUUAUUUUAAUUCUAUACAUAUUGUUAAUUAGUACAUUAUGGUAGCCUAAUCUACUAGCACUCACCGACGGAUAUAUCAUUAUCCAGUGGAUAAUUCGAUGCUGUUAUCCAAAAGAUUCAUCAUCUGAAUUACAUUUAUCCGUUUCUGCGGUCGCCACAUGUGAA